rnacentral:antisense_RNA from 1 species
ACUGUGAAGUCACAAGAGGCCCUGAGCUCUGUGGGCCCCAGGUGCCCCAGGAAAACUUGGGGGAGAAUGGGCAUCCCACCCCAGCACUUUCUAGGAAGGAGGGCAGCAUUUUGAAGGGCUGGAAGUAGAGGAAGGAGGUUGCGGGUAGAAGACUCCAUACUUUCUGUGAUGCCUAUUCCUUAGCUUGAGAUGAAUGUUUUCUCAGUAUCCUAUGCUGAAAACAGGUAGAUACUAAUAUCGAUCUUCAAGGGAGGGCUGUUGAGUUUUGAAUAAGACAAAAACAUGGAAGCAAUCAGCACCAUGCUGGAGAGCCUUUAUAUAACCAAAGAUAUUUUUGGACCAUGAAUUCGGAAAUUCUCGGAGCCACCCAUCAGUGCCUGAGCUUCAGUGAGUCCAUAUCCCAUGUCACCCACGGCAAAGGAGAAUCUAAGACUUCUGAAGAGUUUCUUGCUUCUUUCCUGUGGGGCAGUGACUCCACUUCCCAGCAGUAAUGGAAUAUCCUGAAUUAGCUACAUUAAUGUUAGAACCAUUUGGACCUCACCCAGGACUUCAACUACAUUAUGAGUAACUCCUGGACGAUUGGCACAGAAGGCACAAGGCAAAUACCUAUCUCUGUACACCCUGUGCUACUGUGUCAUGUGCUGCUCCAGGCAACUCCAAUGGAUUGGCCACCCUGGCCAAUGUGUUCUAGUAUGUUAGGUUUAUGUUCCCCUGCUUUCUACAAUCCUGUUCAAAGAGUUGCUGACUUAACCACAGAGAGGAUUCCAGAACAUGAGACACAGAAUAAACUUGAGCAAUCAUAGUCCAUCCACUUCAUUUUCUCAUCAAAAACCAAAGGUCCAGUGAAGCUCUGGAACUCAACGCUGUAAAGGAGCGAAGGAGCUUCUAUACAGA